rnacentral:sRNA from 1 species
UAAUGCUGACUUCUGUGGACAUGUUGAUGGCCUCCCUUUAAAAUCCUUUGGACAGACCUAGGCUGACUCUAAUGCUGCAACUCCUUUGUCUUUCAGUUGGUGAGUAUGUGAAAGCCCUGGAGUGUGCCAAAGCCUAUCUUCUGUGCCAUCCAGAUGAUGAGGAUGUCCUAGACAAUGUGGAUUACUAUGAGAGUCUGCUGGAUGAUAGCACUGACCCGGCAUCCAUUGAGGCCAGAGAGGAUUUAACAAUGUUUGUGAAACGUCAUAAGCUGGAGUCUGAGCUGAUAAAAUCAGCUGCAGAAGGUCUGGGGUUUUCAUACACUGAACCGAAUUAUUGGAUCAGAUAUGGAGGACGACAGGAUGAGAAUCGGGUCCCUUCAGGAGUGAACGUAGAGGGAGCAGAAGUUCAUGGAUUCUCAAUGGGAAAAAAGCUAUCACCCAAGAUAGAUCGAGACCUAAGAGAAGGUGGUCCUCUGCUCUAUGAGAACAUCACAUUCGUCUACAACUCGGAGCAGCUGAACGGGACUCAGCGGGUUCUCCUGGAUAACGUCCUGUCGGAAGAACAGUGCCGGGAGCUCCACAG